rnacentral:lncRNA from 1 species
AGUCGCAGAUGGAGGCUCUCCCUCCCUCCUCCAUGGUCAAGAAUGGAGGCAUGAAUGAGCUCAGUCAUGAGCUCAUCUUCUCUGCUCUGUGGCCUAUAAAUUGAGAGGGUUGCCAGAGAGAGAAGGAGAGGGGAGUGCAGUGUAGAUUGAAACUCUAUAAAGAGUAUAGAGUGAGAGGCUGUGAGAGAAGAGAGCAAGACUGAGAGAUUGAGAGAUGAGAUGAUUGAGUGAGUUGAGUGUGAUCUCCUCCUUUGUAUUCAUU